rnacentral:tRNA from 1 species
UACCCAGAUAGUUUAGAUAAAACAUCGGCCUUGUAAGCCGAAGCCGAAGGCUAACCCCUUCUCCAGGUGU